rnacentral:rRNA from 1 species
GACGAACGCUGGCGGCGUGCCUAAUACAUGCAAGUCGAACGCUGAAGAGAGGAGCUUGCUCUUCUUGGAUGAGUUGCGAACGGGUGAGUAACGCGUAGGUAACCUGCCUGGCAGCGGGGGAUAACUAUUGGAAACGAUAGCUAAUACCGCAUAAAAUUGAUUAUUGCAUGAUAAUUAAUUGAAAGAUGCAACUGCAUCACUACCAGAUGGACCUGCGUUGUAUUAGCUAGUUGGUGGGGUAACGGCUCACCAAGGCGACGAUACAUAGCCGACCUGAGAGGGUGAUCGGCCACACUGGGACUGAGACACGGCCCAGACUCCUACGGGAGGCAGCAGUAGGGAAUCUUCGGCAAUGGGGGGAACCCUGACCGAGCAACGCCGCGUGAGUGAAGAAGGUUUUCGGAUCGUAAAGCUCUGUUGUAAGAGAAGAACGGGUGUGAGAGUGGAAAGUUCACACUGUGACGGUAUCUUACCAGAAAGGGACGGCUAACUACGUG